ensembl:snRNA U6 U6 spliceosomal RNA
GUGCUCACUUCAACAGCAUGUUGUUAAAGUGGGAAGGCCACAGAGAAGAAGUCGUGGCCCCUGCAGAAGCAUGACAUGAAAAUCUGUGAACUAUCCCAUAUUUUC